rnacentral:rRNA from 1 species
AUUGAACGCUGGCGGCAUGCUUUACACAUGCAAGUCGAACGGCAGCGCGGGCUUCGGCCUGGCGGCGAGUGGCGAACGGGUGAGUAAUACAUCGGAACGUGCCCAGUAGUGGGGGAUAGCUCGGCGAAAGCCGGACUAAUACCGCAUACGACCUGAGGGUGAAAGCGGGUGAUCUUCGGACCUCGCGCUAUUGGAGCGGCCGAUGGCAGAUUAGCUAGUUGGUGGGGUAAAGGCCUACCAAGGCGACGAUCUGUAGCUGGUCUGAGCGGACGACCAGCCACACUGGGACUGAGGCACGGCCCAGACUCCUACGGGAGGCAGCAGUGGGGAAUUUUGGACAAUGGGCGGAAGCCUGAUCCAGCAAUGCCGCGUGUGUGAUGAAGGCCUUCGGGUUGUAAAGCACUUUUGGCGGGAACGAAAAGGACUGUGCCAAUACCACGGUUCGAUGACGGUACCCGCAGAAUAAGCACCGGCUAACUACGUG